UCGCGCAUGGAAAUGGUGAGAUGCAAAGCCUGCUUCAGUAUCAAGCCACGACCUAAAAAUUAUUUUAUGCAACUCAACUAAAUCAUCAGGGAGCAGCGGAAAUGUUAUUUCACAUGCUCUUAAGUGGAAAGGGCCUUUAAGUAGGAUAGCAAGUUGGAACACAGCUGCCCGUUGAAGAUUUGCAAAGGCAAAAACUGAGCAAAGGAAUGGAAAUGCUUAAUGCUAAGGAGAACGCCAUCCUGCCAUCUCUCUAAAGUCAACACCACAUAGGCACUGGUCAAAUACAAGCUCCUGGAGUCAGCACAGGAACUACUGUGAGAAAUGCAAAAGUCUGAAACCUCUAGAUUCGCCAGAUGAUCUAAUUGCUGCGAGAAGGAGCAGUAUCGGAACAAUAUAGAAUAAUACUAAUGUAUACGGAUUCUUGGAGUCUCACCUCAUCUACCAGAAGAGUUUCCAAGGUGGAAAAUAAAUGCUAGUACAGCUAGCAGUACAGAGCUGCAAGAACCCUUUCUGUUUUUCUGAAAACGAGUCUAAGAAAGCUCUGCGGAGUCUCCAGCACAGUGCCUACUCUUCGUUUGAGGAAAACCAGAAAAUUGAGUAGAACUUGCAGAAAUAAUCUAAUUUACAUCACUCAAGACUUUUUACCUAGUACCGGUGGCAAACAUCAUUCUAUUUUGGAUGGUAAGAACAGUAAUAGCUGAGCACGAAUAACAGGCAUGGAUUCAUCUGCUAUUUCAAGAGAGGUUUCUUUCCCUCCUUGUCUCCUGCUUCACUAGUUUAACAACAACAACAUCUCAUUUCAUACCUUAAGACAGCUCAGUAUUGCUAAGCUUGUUCCCUGCCAAAAUGGAAGGAACGUCAGGUAACAAAACCUAAAGGAUGACUAAUUUGUCUUCUAGCUGCACAAUAAUAAACACCAGAACUGAAGACUGUAAACCAUGCCAGUAUUUUGGGCCAAGGCUGGAGUGCUCAAGCAUCUAGCAAGCAGAACAAGAGGAAUGUCACUGUGUGACCAAGGAGAGCUCAACCUCUGCUCUCAAAUUUGGCCACUGUUAAUGGCCUGUAAAACUUCUAAGCUGCCUCAAUGAGAACAAGCAACGCCAAGAAGAACAGGCCCAGCAGGGAGGGCUAUUCAGGCCAUAGCAGUUCUUGCCCUUAUUGGAACAGAACGGGUGCGGCUACAUGCAACCCACAGCGAACAGAACAUGUGAUGCAGAUAUGCCAUCUACAUAGCUGCCUGGAGAUCAUACAAAGCUGCAGAAGGAUACCCACUGUCCAUAAAAAGUUGCAUACCUUAAGUUAGAUGAUAGAAGCUACAACACUAAGCAUUGUUACAAAAUAUAGAGAGAGAGACUAAGAACAAUAAAAACAGGUUUGCAAUUGUGAUAUUUUUAUUGUUGUUUUAUGAGAGGUAGCAGAAAGGACGACCUGCACUUUUCAAAUCAUUGUAGCAAAGUACACAAUAUUAAUUUUCAAGGAAACCAACAUUCAUAUCAACGCUAAAGGAAAUUUUAGUAUCUGUGCAACAUGCAUGCACGUCAGACUCAGAAAGGAAGGCUUGGAUAAGGAAGACAUUUGGGCAUUUAGCUCAAUCUUCAAACAUAAACUUGGUGAUUCUUCCUCUGCUGCUCCCGUCUGUCAGCAUUAAUCCACAGCCACAUCAGAGGGAGACAAGAGGCCAAAGCAAUGCCUAGUUGAGAGAUGUCUGGCUGAAACACAGAGCAGUCUGUGAGUCUAAUCCAGGCUUUAUAUUCAAAAGGAGAAGAAAGCAGAUACAGUAACUAAGAUUAUGGUUUUCCAGUUAUUUCUUCUGAAUAACUGCUCUCAGAACGGAGCUGCUCAGAGUUGCAUUUAGUAUGGACUUCAUAAAUAACUCUUCAUUAGUACCACUUAGUAGUAAAGUGGUGGUAGCCACCAUUAUUUGAAGCUCUAUGAAAUACGCAGAUUGAUCUUUCCAGUUUUAAGAUCAAAUUACUUCCCAUCGUUCCAAUUUCAUCCUUAUUUCAAAUCACUUGGUUAAUAGCAGGCAAGGGGUUUCAGCUUCAUAAAUACAAUAAGGGAGCUAAAGAAUCUCUCUCUGAUGAGUACUUCAUGACAAUGCUUCCUUGACUUUUCAUUUUCAGCAGUUAUCACGAGUAGUUCUGCAAAAUCUUUCUAAUGGAGGACAGGCUGGAGUUUGAGGAGCAGAAAGCAAGGACGUGGGUUGGCUUUUUACAGGAAUAUAUUGGAAGGGUUAGGAAGCAUAGGGUUGUGAAAAUUUGGCAGAUGAUACCCUUAUGCAUGCUACAGCCAGCCAUUAUGUGUCACAUGACAGGAAAUUCCUAACGGUAACAUAAAACACCUUCACUAAGGAAAAAAUGAAAUGAUGCUUUAACAAAAUUUCAUGCCCAUGACACAGGCCGAGGUAGGCUGGGUGACCUGCCAGCCUGAAGACACUCCAUAUGUUAUGAUCAUGAGCUCAGGAAAAAAAAAAAAAAGCUUGUGUUUCUUUUUUAGACCAUGACGAUCCAUUUUAUUUAUUGAGCUGAAUCUCAUCACACCUUGCAGCAAAAUUAAGAAUCACAUAGUAAAUACCUGGAGCUUGCUAAAAUUAUUAAAAUAACUAUCUCAGACAGUAUGCCCUGGCCUUGAUCCUUCCAAUCACUGAAAUGCUCAUUUAAUUAAAAGCCAUCUGAAGUUAGAAAGAACAUUAAAAACAAAAACAACAACAACAAAGAAACACCUGUCAGAGAAGCCCCCACAAGAUUUCAGACAAUGAAAUAUCUUAGUGAAUAAUGUAUGAGAAAAUUUGUUGCAUUUAACGUUUAUUUGGUAUAAUAGUAGGUCUGAGCUUACCAUCUCUGAUUAAUUUAACUCCUUAAGUCUGACUGAUCACCGCUGUAUCUCUUGGCGCUGGUUAAGGACAUCUCCACUAAGUAGAGCAUUUGCUGACAUUGUCCCCAGUGAGCAAUGGUCAUUACUGCUCACACACAUUAAGCCAGAGCUGCUCCCUAGCAGAUGUUCUAGUAAAAGAGCCAUCCCAAUUUGUUACAUUUCCCAUUAAAAGAAUAAAUAAUGUAUUUUCUACCAAAAUGAUAUUAAAAUGCUGGGAGAUUCAUAAAAGUCCUCCAGUCUCAUUCAGAGGAAGGGGAGAAAGGCACUUUGCAAUAUAUUGGCAAGACUUUUUGCUACCAACACAUCAGUGUCACAGAUGAAUCAUGAUAUUCCAAAAACAUCAGCCUUCAUAACAACAAAAGUAACCACAAUUUCAAUAAAUUGGAAGGACACAUCAAGGUCUAUAAAGCAAGAGGAUGAAAGGAGUUAUUAGCCUGCUACUUGUUCCCUGUCCCUUCCCUGCUAUUAGCUGUUUGCCUUCCAAGAAGCUCAGUGAAGCAACAUGUCUCUAAUAGCAUCACUGUGAACUCAGCUUUAAAGACAAAACUCUAACACAUUACGUGCAUAAAUCAAACACAUGAGUGGCAAUAUUUGUGGUGGACUGAGCAGCAGACACACACAGCUGAGCACAUCAGUAGACACCAACAACACGUUUACCACAUAGCCCUGCAGCUGAAGCUUCAGCGGCUCAGCACUGCAAGGAGCAAUGCUCCCUGGUGCACUGGGAGCGAGGGGACAUACGAGCAGCCAGCGAGAAGCAGCAAUUCUGGAACCCAGAGCACCCUGCCUGGAUCAGAUGCCGCAGGAAAACAGUGAUUUUGGGGUACGCUCCACUGUAUGAAACAUAGAACGUUUGUUUUCUGAAAAAAGCAUCGCUGCAUUGGGCACUUGGAAGCAAUAAUCAGGUUCUGAAAGUUUACAAGAGACCGUGCAUUUUUAGUCUGAUCUUCCCAUUAGGAUUAAUUGUAAGCAGCGUAAGCAGAGUCAUAAAGAAGCCCCAGAGGAAAAAAAAAUAUCUUCCCUAUAAUUAAUUGUGCCAUUUGACUAAUAAAACAACUUAUACUUCCAUUAACCAAGCUGCAUGCAAAGAGACUUGAUUUUCAGAUCCACUUGACAUAAACAUAGCUUAUCUUAAUUAAUCCUUCUGCAGGCUUUGUUUUCUGGAACGCAUUCACCUCAAAUAAAGCAACUUUUAUCAACACCUAAGCAGUAUUUUUAUCUUUAUAGCCUCAGGUAGAUGCCGGAGCUAAGCUGGGAUCCAGCAAUGUCUUCGC
rnacentral:lncRNA from 1 species